CACUAAGUCAUCUGAUCUCAAACUGGUUCCUAAACUGGGAGGAUCACCAGUUAACUGGAUCUUAGAGCAUCAGAGCCGCUGAAACCUCAUCACCAUAAUCAGUCUCAGUAGUUUCUGGUUGGCUGCAGCACCGACUCACUAACUUUAGCUGGUUUCUCAGUCAGAAAUCACCUCACUGGCUGAACCUCACCUUCAGCAGCAACCAGUUUCUCUCUGGCUCCUCCCACCACUGCUGAGCUCAGCCAAUGAGAAGGCUCGUCUCUAACAGCAGCUUGAUGAUGAUGAUGAAGGUCUGUUAGUCUUCCUUCUGCUGCAGUGGAUCAUCUCUGUAGAUCUGCUGUCUGUCCUGAACUCCUGGAACAUGUUGCUGUACCUCCUGCUCUUCUCUCUCUACAUCGCCAUGGGCUCCAUGAACACCGUCACACAGGAGCAGAGGGAACACGUCGCUUCAGAGGGAAGCCCCACCAGUUUGAGCUGCGGAUAUACUGGUUCUAUCUAUAAUGUCCAGUGGUACCGACAGCAGCACGGAUCCAGACCAGAGUUCCUGCUCCACAUCACAGAGUCGGGAUCGAUCCAUCCAACUCGCUCCGAUUUCUCAGCUCACAUCGAUAAAACUCAGAAACGAGGAACUUUGCUGAUCUCCUCUGCUGCAGUGUCAGACUCUGCUGUGUACUACUGCGCUGUGGCGCCCACAGUGACAGGAAACACCAGAACC